rnacentral:rRNA from 1 species
AUGAACGCUAGCUACAGGCUUAACACAUGCAAGUCGAGGGGUAGCACGGAAGAAGCUUGCUUCUUUGGGUGACGACCGGCGCACGGGUGAGUAACGCGUAUCCGACCUACCCCUUACUCAGGAAUAGCCCGUUGAAAGACGGAUUAAUGCCUGAUGUUCUCAUGUUGCCGCAUGGCGAUAUGAGCAAAGAUUCAUCGGUAAGGGAUGGGGAUGCGUAUGAUUAGCUUGUUGGCGGGGUAACGGCCCACCAAGGCAACGAUCAUUAGGGGUUCUGAGAGGAAGGUCCCCCACACUGGAACUGAGACACGGUCCAGACUCCUACGGGAGGCAGCAAUGAGGAAUAUUGGUCAAUGGAGGCAACUCUGAACCAGCCAAGUAGCGUGCAGGACGACGGCCCUAUGGGUUGUAAACUGCUUUUAUGCGGGGAUAAAUGAUCCUACGUGUAGGAUUUUGCAGGUACCGCAUGAAUAAGGACCGGCUAAUUCCGUG